UUCAUUAUUUAAUUAAAGUGCAUUAACUGUGACAGAUGUGCGUUUUUGUAUGCAAUGUGAAAAUCACCUUCAGACAUGCAUCCAUCCCAUUUAAGUUGUGAAUCAGACAUUUCAUUUUCUUUUACUUCACCAUGCAAAUGUGUGGCUGUAAUCCCCAGGAAAUAAAGUAGGCCUAGAAAAAGAAAUACAAAAAAGAAACUUGUGCUGCAGUGAAGAGGAAACUGGAGUCAGAAAGGACGACAGAUGGACACUUGUGGUAAAAAAUGAAAAAGUUGCAGGGACUUUGUGUCGCUCUGUAACGAGUCUCAUUACCAUGCCUCCCCCCUCCUCCCCACCGACACCCUUCCUCACUCCUGGCAACAGCAGACAAAGCGCGCGGGUUUUAGUGGUCUCCGGGCAGCCUUUGAUCUAAGCCCGUUAAGGAGAAGGGAGUCUGGGGGAAUCAGGGCUAAGGAGGAAGGUAACGUCAUCUAAAAUAUGUUUACCUAUACAUUGUACAAUCAAUAAUUUCAUUAGAUUUUUCAAUGUGGGACAAAAUGCAUCCUAAUUUGCAUAUGAGUCAACACCUGAGGGUAAGAUGUUGCCAACUUGCCAAGUCUGUUUCAUUUCUGUGACUUUUUUUCUCUAACUGCAAAAUAUAUUUAUCCACCAGGUAAAUAAACCCAGGAGCCUGAACUUUAAGAGAACCGGACCUCCAAGAACUAAACUCUACAAGAAGCAGGGAGGGCCUUCAAACCGAGGCCUGGACCAGUUUGAAGAGCUGCCCUUUUUGCUUGGUCCCUGCAUGAUGCCCUGAGCUGCUUCCUCUGCUUAGAGACCUUCCUUCCUGUCUGAGGGACACCUGUUGGUGCAGAGCAGCUCCGAAAAGCCAUGUUGUCCCGUAAGAACGGCCUCCUUCCCCACUGAAGUCACCUGGUCAUGGUGUGUGUGUGGCGCCACACGCCUUCUCCAUCAAGACCGCAGGCUCACGGCUGCCACAGGGCGAGCUGAAUGUCUUCACUGAGGAGGCUGACACAAAAAAAAUCGUAAGUUUACGCACUUCCAUCUGUGUUUUCUAAGCGAGCGAGACUUUGAUGUUUGUGAGUCGGGCCCUGGGCAGGGGGCUGAGGCCUGACUGGAGCGCUGGGGCCUAAUGAAUAGAUCCACAACAGUGGCUUGUUGUGUUUGUUUACCCUUUCACCCAGCUGCCUGGAUCGUGGAGGUGGGAGGGCAUUCAUCAUGACCUAGGAGAGAUGGGAGGCAUGGGCACAUAUACUGAAGAAUGACAUGAUGGCGCACACUCUGCACAGUGUGCCAAAAAAGUGCCCAAACAAGGCAGUAACCGUCAAUACACGCCACGAGCGAAUAAAAGGACCAACAAAGAAAAUGUCAAACUUAUUGCAAUUGCCAUAA